GGUCCCGGGAGUACAGCUGUUGCCGGAGCUCUGUCUGCUGCUUUCGGAGACUUGCGUAAUGACACUCAGUUUGUCAAAGACUUCAUUCUCAUCAGAGGGCGGGAAGGAGAAAAACAGAAGGGUAUUGUGAUGAGGGUGACCCAAAAACUACGAGAGAGAGAGAAAGUUAAUGAUCAAAAUUGUCCAAAUUCUUUUUCUGGGCUUACACAGAUUUUAUACAAGACUCCUGGCUGGAGAGUGAUGCUUUAUUUACUUAUUUAUAUUUUUAAAUAAAAAAAAAAAGAUUUUAUUUAUUCAUGAGAGACACAGAGAGAAAGAGAGAGGCAGAGACACAGGCAGAGGGAGCCUGAUGUGGGACUCGAUCCCUGGACCCCGGGAUCAUGACCUGAGCCGAAGGCAGAUGCUCAACCACUGAGCCACCCAGGCGCCCCGAGAACGCUGGUUUAAAGCAUGUGACAAUCACAGCAGGAGAGUUCCUCAAAGAUUUAAAAAUAGAAUUAUCGCACGAUGCAGGAAUUUCACUUCCGAAUAUACACUCAGAAGAACCGAGAGCAGGGUCUCAAAGGAGGACUGGUACAGCCAUGUGCACAGCAGUGUGAUUUACGAAAGCCAGACGGCAGAAGCCGACCACAUGCCCAUCGACGCCGAAAUGGAUAAAUAAAAUGGGGUCCCUCCGUACAAGGGAAAAUUCACUGAGCCUUAAAAAGGAAUGAAUUUCUGACACAGGCUACACGGAUGAAGCUCGAGGAGGUCAUGCUGGGUGGAAUAAGCCAGACACAAAAGGACGAAUGUCAUAUGAUUCCACUCAGGUCCACCUACGCUCUCUAUCUUCAGGAUGAGGUGGAGACGGUCCCAAGGCUCCGCAGGUUCCCCUCUCCCCUCCUCUGUUCACCUGUAGCUUCACGUCGGCCGGUUGGCUCCCCUCUUAACGUAAUCUGCACACUCAGCCCUUUGAUGCCACUUACUUGAAGCCGCUGGCAGCCGCACUGCCCCUGGUGUCACCUCCCACCCCCUGGGUCUCGACCAGCUGAUGGAAGCGAGGGGAGGGGCAGGCAAGAGGAAUUAUGUCCAGAUUUCUGUUGCCCAAAGGAGGACAUGGGUAGGGGGCAGGAGGAGCCUCCGCAGAUCCUCGGAUCCAGGGGAUCUGUAAGAUCGGACUAGAGCCACCCUUGAUCCUCCCAGGAAAGGGCACAGGAAAGAAGAGCGGAGGAAGAUGUGCUGAGUCUCAGGAAUGCAAGGAUCAGGCUGGUCUCUGGGUGGGACACCCUGAAACCCCAUCUAGCUGUAUUGGAUAAACCCCCUGUGGCUUCAACUCAAAGUCUCCACCCCCACUAAGUCUCCCGAAAUUCCUAACUAUUCUCUGGCCGUGGUUAGUGGACCUUUUACAUCAUGCAUCAGGCUGGAGGAUUUCAUGAUGCAAUGAUCCCAGUCUGCAUGGUUGCCUGGCACUCACUUCCUUCAUCCUUCACUGCUCACCCCCCGCACCCCCCCCCCCAAGCACUUGCCCCAUUUCUCAGGUCAAUCACAGGGGCUGGCUCUGCAGGCAGGGCUGCAAAGUCUUCUAGCCUCACAGCAGGGGCUCCUUCCGAAGGCCCCCCCUUCACUACCCCCGCCCCGCCCGUCUCUGGCUUUGAUUUGCCUGGCGACACGUAACCCCAUCUGUCCUUUCCUGUCUGAGGGUCUCUGUGAUGGCGAGCCAGAAACCGAAGUAGCAGGUGAAUAGCUUUGCUUCCUGUUGGGUCUCUACUUACAAAACACCUUCUACCCGGGGCAAUGGGCCCACCCCCCUUUGUUCUUCCUGCUUCUCCAGAUCUCACAGAGGCCUCUUGGCCCAUUCUGGUUCUGCUGUCUCAGUCACCACUCUUGAUAGAAGGUUCUGGCCACUCUGAAACACCUGCCGGUGGUCAUGGUCUCACUGUGGAUGCUGUUUGGCCGAGACCAGCCCUCACGGUGGAGGUGCUUGUUCUGUAGCUUCCAGAACAGGAAGGGGGCUGGCCCGGCUCAGAGCAGAGUCCCAGAAGCUGUGCCAUACAGAAGGGAGGGGCUGAGGCCAAGGGACUGUGUCCUUCCCGGGGACAGUCUCUGCCAGCUGACUGGAUGGUCUGGGGACAAGGCCUGACACCAGCUGUCAUGACAAUGUGGUAACAGGACCAGAAGGGAAAGAAGUGGCGAGGCCUUGGUUGGGCAGAUGUGCUUCAGAGCCUGAGAAACCCAUGGCAGAGGGCAUGCUGGACAUCCUCUCCGAGGUACAGGACCGGCGAGCCUACCUCACCUUUCCUGAUGCUGAGAACCAGCACCACGCCAGGUGACAUCAGGCCAGACCAAGGGGCCCAAUGACGGCCAGCAUGGCCUGGAGUGGGCAACAUGUCUCGGGGACCCACUGAUGACACCACACACUGCACCACCCAGCAGCUGCCGGCCUGGAGGAGCAAUGGACUGACUGACUGGUAGUGCAGGAAGAGGGAACAACUUCAGUCUCAGAGGUCCCGCUCCAGCAGGUCCCUGUCGUCUAAGAGGUGUGGAUGCUGAGGCCUACCUCUUUCAGAUGCUGAGGCAGACAGUUCCUGGGGGAGAAGACGUGCUUGGUCCUCUUGUACAGGCACCACAGCAGGGCGGAGCAGCCGAGCAGCAGGAGGGCCACGCACACCGAGGCUGCCAGGACGAUGGCGACAGUCCAGGACGGGGCUGUGUCUGCGGGGACAACAGGAGGCCGCGUUAGGUCAGGUUCAGGUCAAGGACACGGCGGGGCACCUGACCUCAACACUGUCACCAUCGCAAUCCGGUGGGAGUCCCUGAAAACAGGGCUGGACGCUCAUCUCAGAAGGGGUGAGGAGGAAGCAUGGGGCACCUGCCCAAGGAUCCAGGGCUUUCCAGCGAGUGUCACCCCUUCCCAUCUUUUUCCAGCUUUGGUUUCUGGCACGACGGUGGACAUAUAAUACGCAAGAAUUGUGAGCUCUGAGCCGUGAGCCUCCCCAUUCUGGAAAAGCCUCUUUGGCCCCGAAGCAGAAGAGGGGGACCCUGGAGCCCCAAGCAAACACAUGCAGUGAAGUGUUUUGUGUUGCAAUUGGCAGAAGCUCUUGGCACCACGGCUGCGUCCACGCCGUGGCACUUAGAGACCUGCCCGAGCUCCAGCGUGCCCUCCAGGGGCCUAAGGCCACGCUGCGGGCACGACCCAGCACCCACCCUGGGUCUCCCUCUGGAAGAACACAAGGCUGCCCAGAGAACGUUCGCCAACACCUGGCCUUCCUUUCUUAGCGCUUCUGUUAUAAAGAGCUUAUGGACUUUU